UACGGGGGAUGCAAGCGUUAUCCGGAUUUAUUGGGUUUAAAGGGUGCGUAGGCUGUGAGGUAAGUCAGCGGUGAAAUGCCCCCGCUCAACGGGGUGAAGUGCCAUUGAUACUGCCUUGCUGGAAUGCGGAUGCCGUGGGAGGAAUGUGUGGUGUAGCGGUGAAAUGCAUAGAUAUCACACAGAACACCGAUUGCGAAGGCAUCUCACGGAUCCGCGAUUGACGCUGAUGCACGAAAGCGUGGGUAUCAAACAGG
rnacentral:rRNA from 1 species